GACGAACGCUGGCGGCGUGCUUAACACAUGCAAGUCGAACGGAAAGGCCCUGCUUGCAGGGUACUCGAGUGGCGAACGGGUGAGUAACACGUGGGUGAUCUGCCCUGCACUUCGGGAUAAGCCUGGGAAACUGGGUCUAAUACCGGAUAGGAGCCAUUUUUAGUGUGAUGGUUGGAAAGUUUUUCGGUGUAGGAUGAGCUCGCGGCCUAUCAGCUUGUUGGUGGGGUAAUGGCCUACCAAGGCGGCGACGGGUAGCCGGCCUGAGAGGGUGGACGGCCACAUUGGGACUGAGAUACGGCCCAGACUCCUACGGGAGGCAGCAGUGGGGAAUAUUGCACAAUGGGCGCAAGCCUGAUGCAGCGACGCCGCGUGGGGGAUGACGGCCUUCGGGUUGUAAACUCCUUUCGCUAGGGACGAAGCUUUUUGUGACGGUACCUAGAUAAGAAGCACCGGCUAACUACGUGCCAGCAGCCGCGGUAA
rnacentral:rRNA from 1 species